rnacentral:pre_miRNA from 1 species
AAUGCAAUUGCUGAGUCAUAUGGUAAGUGUAUGUUUUUUUGUUUUUUUAAGAAACUGUCAUACUAAUUUCCAGAGUGACAGAACAAUUUGACAUUUUCACCAGCUAU